rfam:Triticum aestivum genome assembly, contig: Triticum_aestivum_CS42_TGACv1_scaffold_146220_2BS
UUAGUACUCCCUCCGUUCGGAAUUACUUGUCGCAGAAAUGGAUGUAUCUAGACGUAUUCUAGAUACAUCCAUUUCUGCGACAAGUAAUUCCGAACGGAGGGAGUAGAUA